GUGCGCAGGCGCUUGUGGCUUCGCGGGGCUGACCGUGCGCUUCGCCUGCGGGGUCGUGCUGGGGCGGCGGGUACGCUCUUUGAAGAACAGGUUUCCAUGCUCUUAGAGGAGCAUCAGAAAAUGAACAAACCCCAGGUGAGUUGCUUUUUUAGAUUUUUUCAUUUUCCAGGGGAUUUGCUGGCUUUUAUAAAAUUCGUUUAUUCAGAUGGACAUUUAAAAAGCUACUUCAGGAUAAAUGAGGAGUGAGAGGCAACUGAGCAGUAGGCAGAGGUGGCUGCGGAACCCUGUGGUCAUGUGAUCCUACAAUCGUCAAAGGAGAGUGGCAGAUUUGUCUUUUUUUUUGACACGGAGUCUUGCUCUGUUGCCCAGGCUGGAAUGCAGUGGCGUGAUCUUGGCUCACUGCAACCUUCACCUCUGGGGUUCAACCAAAUCUCAUGCCUCGGUCUCCCGAAUAGCUGGGACUACAGGUGCUCACCACCACACCCGGCUAAUUUUUGUAUUUUUUAUAGAGAUGGCUUCGCCAUGUUGGCCAGUCUGGUCUGGAGC
rnacentral:antisense_RNA from 1 species